rnacentral:lncRNA from 1 species
GGGGGGGCGCGCCGGCCGCCUUCGGAGCCCCCCAACUCGCGUCCUGCAAAGGCCGCCGGGCCCUGUCGAGAAGACCCGACCGCAGAUGGCGGGGAGGAUGCUCCCGGCGGCGUGGGAACCGGGUCUGACUCCCGAGCCACCGCCGCUUCCGCAGGGGCGCCGGCCCCGGGAAAGUCAAGUCAUAAAUCCCUGAAUCUAAAACUCCAUUCUCAGAGAAAAGGCCUCCAAGGACGGGCGCCGUGCGCGGCAACUGCCUGCAGUUUUGAAGCCCUUUGACUAUUUCAUAACAAAGACAAGGCCGGGCGGCUUGGACGCUUAGGAAAAUCCUGGGGCUUUGCAAAAACAACAGGUUAAUCUAGUCGUGUGGGAUGAUCACCAAAACAAGACAGGAAAGAAGAACACCGUGUCAAUGCUGAAAAGCCAGCCCCUAACACAGGGCUUCUACUCCAGGGUUUCCUCGCCAGGGAACCCCAAACACACAGGACCUGGAGAAGCCGGGUAGAGCUGGCUCCUGGCCCUGCGCUUGGGUGGUCGGCUGCCUUAAGAAGAACUGCACCCCAGAGACAGGCUCGCAGCUGCCGACCUUAUCCACUCGCCCUUUCUGCUGGAGCCCAGGCCCAGUGCUCCAGCAAGGAGGCUGAGAAAAUGCUGAAGACUGAUGCCCACGGGGGACAGCUUGGGCUAAGGAUAACGUUUGCAAAACAAACCUUUAAAAACCCAUAGCAACCUGUUUCCUAGAGCACACUCUUCAUCUCUCCACCCCCAAACUAGUCCCGACUCGGAUCCUCCUUUUCCUAUCCUCUUUCUCUUGCUCUCCCGUCUCCUAUUCACUUUUCUUCUCCUUUCCUCUUGAUUAUUAUAAACAAAUGCUUUCCAAGUCUUACCGCCAUCAUAUGUGUACAUAUGCAACCCUUACUGUUACCAAUUUGUUGAAGUCAAGACAGGAGGAGGCAAAGUUUAAAAAUCAGAAGUAUUGCAGGAAAUGAAAAUGGAGUGAGUGUUGCCUGGGUAUCAUAAUUUUUUUUUUUUUUUUAACAGUUCCUCUACUUGGCUCUCCUCCAAAGGUACGCGGCCACAGCAGGCAGGGGCUUGGCAGUGUGGGAGGAGACACCACAGAAGACAGGGAAGAACUACCAGGCCUUGGUUCAUCUCCACACUGGCGAGAGAGGACGUGCAGUUACCUGCUACCUGUUCGACUCAGUCUUUUACGUUGGAGUAACUUAACACAUUGCUGCCCUUAACUUUGACUUACUUGCUUUUAAAGAUGAUGAAGCUGGCCAGGCGCCGUGACUCAUACCUAUAAUCCCAGCAUUUUGGGAGGCCCAGGCAGGUGGAUCACGAGGUCAGCAGUUCAAGACCAGCCUGGCCAACAUGGUGAAACCCUGUC